AGGCGCCAUAAGACAGGUCCGAAGGACUAUCCAUUAGGGGAUGAGAGGCCUAUCCAUUAGAGAAUUUGACUUGCGACGUCCGCUUUAAGAGCCUAGAGGUCAUUCUUAGGGGUGCUUUCGUGGAAUCAUUUCAGAGAAAAAUCACUGUCUUUCUCUUUCUCACAAAGGACCGGAGAAGGGCCUGACCUCGAUCCGACCCGAAUGAGUUACCGGUGGAGUUCAGAGGCCCGUGCCCAAGUGAAAGUGAAGAUCAAGCCGCCUAUGGGCGGUUGUCCGUCUACAUAAGAGGAAGGAGGAUCCCUCGUCAAUUCUAACCACCAGAGGUUUGACUCGGUACACCAAUGGUUGGUUGGGACCUUUGAUCAGCUUGUCUACUUUCUUCCCCCAACUCUCACUCAUCUUCAGCCAAUUUCCCCAUUAACCCAAACCUCAAAUUCCGCCAUUUCUUAGGCAAAAUUCAGAAAAUGCAAGGUUUUGGGCCUCCUUUUGUUUUGAGCAUCUUUAUCCCCUUUAUACAAUAAGGCUCUCAUCUCACUUUUCAUUCAAAGGAGGUGGUUUUUCAGUCAAAAAACGACUAUUAGCAUAAGAAAGGAUAAGUCUCAUAUUUAGCUCAAAUCGUAGAAAAUGCAACCCACUACGCGGGAAUAAUCACAAGAAGAAGAAGACAGAAAAGGGAAGAAAGAGGUCCUUAUCUAAUGGGGAUCGUUGGAGUGGAAUAAGGAGCACAUGGUAUUGCUCUCAUUACAGCAAGAGAGAUAGCUGCCUCAGCAGCAACCAAGCUGAUCAAUACAAUAUUGUUAAUAAACAAGAACUUAUCCAGCUGAAAGAGAAAGGGGUGCCUACUCAUUCAUUGACUUUUGCCUCUUUUCCUUACUCACCGCGUAGUGGGGGUCCCCUUGUUCAUUGAGGCGGGGUGUGUCCUGUACGAGCAGCCGAUGCCUCAUCAAGCUUCUUCGACCCUUUCCUUUGUCCUCAGACUGAUCUGGUGGGCGCCUACCCUACCUUUCAGCCUCUUCCCAUCCCGUCCGAAGGACCUCCCAUAAAGAAGAGAAAGGUCCAGGCGCAAUAAGACAGGUCCGAAGGACUAUCCAUAUUAACCUGGCACCUGUGAAAAGAAAAGAAAAGAAGCUCAUUAACUCGAAUUCAAGAAUCAUUCUGAUUUCAUAACUCGAAUUCAAGAAGAAUUAUGAAUCUGCUAGAUUGAAGAGCUAGAUUUCAGAUGAAUCCGCGGAGGGAAAUGCUAGGUUUUGCCCAUAGGGAAGUAGCAAGAAAUCAUGAAAAUUCCUUCUUUUUCACUCAAUUAUCGUAGAAUAUCAAGAUGAGAUUUAGUCCUAUUUAGAAGCAAAAAAGCCGGGAAAUUGCAACUGGUCCAUUAGAAAAAUCUAGGGAAAAUCAAUGAAGACUUCUAGUUUGAGUUUCUGGUCCGGAUACUGACGGGUCUAUUCUGGAAUUCACUCCGUCUGCAAUCUCAAAAUCAAUGAAGGAGUACAAUGAACAUCAUAAUGAUUCUUUCAUUCGAGUUAAUGAGCCCGUAGUUAACCGGUCCUACGUCCAUUUAUCCUCCGGACUAUCCGUAAUUAACCGAAGGAGGACUUUCCGUAAUUAACCGAACUUUGAACCUGGGGGAGCGGUAAUGAAAGAAGACGCUGGUAUGAUGUCCAACCGAACCCAAGAAUGCUCAAGACGGAAGAUAAAGUCAAUGAACAAGGGCUCGACAGGAGGAACCCAUGAAAUGCGAGAGACUUUUCCCACCCAGUAGAAAGUGGGAGUUCCGGGAUUUUCUUGUCAGUUCGUCCUUUAGAUUAUAGAUCAGUCAUGCUUCGCUUUUGACUGCUAUGUCCCAAGUAAUCUUAUCGAAAAGCAUUGAAUGAGCACUUGAACCUCGUCUGUCCCCCAGGAAUGAAGACAUUGAUUCCGGUACAAAGGCCUACUGAGAGGCAUUGCCUAUAGCACUGGCAGGCACAAGACCUUAGUGAAUGCACACUUUUCAUAGAAUAUCACAUUCUGAGAAAUCAGGACUAAGAUUGUUCAAAGGUUGGAGUAAGCGUCUUGACAUCAUCUCAUCUACUCUUUCUUUGAACUUGGAGGGACCGAAGAGCUUUACCAUCCCGGAGGAGGAGCAAGGAAUUUGAUGUUUCUAUCCAUUUCCUCAACUAAGUAGAAAAACGGGGAAAGUAGUUUCAAGAGAAAAAAAAAAGAGAAAGAUUCAAAGGUGCCACUUAAUAGAAAGUCGAGCCACUAUUAAUCCUUAAACUGCUACAGCCACGGCUUUCCCUUUUGUGUGAAACUUCCCUUUAAGCCCUUUCCUCAACAGCACUUGUCACAAUGAAAAGAUUUAGAAUAAGCAAAGCCUAUCCUCCUCCAAGAUAAGGAUGCCUUGGCUUCGUUCCGCUCUCAAAUGCAAUCUUUCUCCCACCCAACCGCCUCAAUGAACAAGGGCUUCCGGACGGACGAGGAUUGAUGGAUCCCCGUAUUGAAAGGUAAAGAAAGAGACCGAGGCCUACCCUACUGGAAAGCGUAUUGAAGUUACCCAAUAUGACUGCCUUUGCUCGCGGGUAAAGAAAAAGAGUUCGAGACUUGGCAUCUUAAUGGAAAGGAUUGAGAAAGGCAUGAAAGGCACCGGCGCUCCUCAAGGUCAGGGUCGUCAGACCUCCCUCUCUUAGUCUCGCAGUUCCCCACGUAGCGGUCCGUCCUACUCGUGGUAGAAUAUGAGCGGAUUUCUACCAGCGAGAACAGAGCAGAUUUUCCCGAUUCAAUGAGUAGAAGGGAAGGAAGCUCAUCCGGGUACGAUCUCAGGGAAGAGGUUCAGUGUGCCCAGCAGAAAGAACUCGCGCUAUUAGCACCCGACUGGGAUUAUCUCGUGAAGCUCUAAGGAGUGGCUUCGCUGACCUCUGGGACGGAUGCCUUUCUCAAUCUUCUUUUCACCUCCCUCACUCAUUUCGUACUCAUUCAAUCUCUGUCUGUCUAUUCUCUCUCUCUCUCGACUUCGUAAACCUAGAAACUCUCACUCCUUCGCACAAACUCAUAAUCGGAUAUUCAGAUGCGAAGCGAUUCCCGCGAAAGUGCGAUUCAUUAUUUCAUAAAAAGAUAUUAAGAAGAUGAAAUUCUAAAGCUCUGAUAUUCAGGUUAAUAUGUCCUUAUCAUAUCAAUGAGACCAGUCCGGAGGACCUACGGAGCAAAGUUCAAAAAGAAAGGUCCAGGCGCAAUAAGACAGGUCCGAAGGACUAUCCAUUAGGGGAUUUCGUAGAUCCAUUUCAUUUAUGGAAAUAAGGGUCAAGAUGCUAGGUUAAUAUGGAUAGUCCGAAGGACGGGGGAUUUGAGAUUAGAUUGGAAUUUUCAUAGAAAACCACUCAAAAUCAAGCCUAUCAGAGAGGUCAAAUAGCAAAAUAAAGAGCCUGCCUAUUGGCGGAAGGGUUCAUGAAAGUCGGGGAAAUGGAAGAAAGCGAACUCCCUUGAACAUCUGCACCCUUGAUUUGAUUUAGACAUCUAGUUUCUAUCUUUUCUCUCUAAAAUAGCUAAGAUGCGCUAGUCCUAUUCUCUUACUUAAAUGAGGCUACGGCUGUAGAUUGAGAGUGGAUUUCUGGGGAUUCAAUUCAAGAGAAAGGGAUGCCUCUGUCAAUAUUCUUUGAACCUGCCCCCUUUCUUUCCUUUGAUUCUAACUCUGACUCAUGAGACUGAUUCCUCCGGACCCUACUAGCCCUCUUAUGGGAAAGCAUAUUCAAUCCGCUGGGUAAAGCACCCAUUCCUUAGUUUAGGGUCGAGCUCAAUCUCCAAUCUCCAGACCGGAAGAAGUUUAAUAUGGAUUUCUCAAUCUGAAAAGAGCCUUUCUUCUUUUCUUAGAUAAAUGCGCUUCGGGCCUUCGUAGCUUAAUAUGGGGAUGAUCUUGGGUGUGGUCUGAACUCAAUCCGGCCCCCACGUAGCGGUCGAGCAACCUUGUUCCACGAAAGAACUGACUUCAGGUCCUAGUUCCAUAUCAAAGCGCUUUCCUUUGAACAUAAGGAAGAAAAUCCUUCUACGCGAUUAGCAUGAACUUCUCGAAGAAUUCUUCUGCAUCCAAAUUGACUCUGAAAAAGGACCCAUUGAAAGUCAAAAGCCUUUUGCCUUAUCAUUCAUACGAGCUUCUACUGUACCGCUCUGUGGGACCGCGGAGUGGGGGUCUAGCUAUCCUACUCUAUAAUGAAUUGUACUAUAGAAAAGAUAGUGAAACUACCACGGAUCUCGCUUCUCAAAUUCUCAAUAUUCUUUGUCAAUAUGCCUAUUUUUUCGAAGUCUUAGUUCCAUUAAUCAGUCCUUUCAGUUCCAUAAGACUCAUCUGGAGCUUUUCU
rnacentral:lncRNA from 1 species